UACGUAGGUGGCAAGCGUUGUCCGGAUUUAUUGGGUUUAAAGGGUGCGUAGGCGGUUCAAUAAGUCAGUGGUGAAAUACGGCAGCUCAACUGUCGAGGUGCCAUUGAUACUGUUGGACUUGAGUACAGACGAGGUAGGCGGAAUUGACGGUGUAGCGGUGAAAUGCUUAGAUAUCGUCAAGAACACCGAUAGCGAAGGCAGCUUACUAGGCUGUAACUGACGCUGAGGAACGAAAGCCAGGGGAGCGAAUGGG
rnacentral:rRNA from 1 species